GACGAACGCUGGCGGCGUGCUUAACACAUGCAAGUCGAACGGAAAGGCCCGGCUUUUGUGGGGUGCUCGAGUGGCGAACGGGUGAGUAACACGUGAGUAACCUGCCCUUGACUUUGGGAUAACUUCAGGAAACUGGGGCUAAUACCGGGUAGGAGCUCCUGCUGCAUGGUGGGGGUUGGAAAGUUUCGGCGGUUGGGGAUGGACUCGCGGCUUAUCAGCUUGGUGGUUGGGUAGUGGAUUACCAAGGCUUUGACGGGUAGCCGGCCUGAGAGGGUGACCGGCCACAUUGGGCCUGGGAUGCGGCCCAGACUCCUACGGUAGGCAGCAGUGCGGUAUAGUGCAUAAGGGGCGGAGGCCUGACGCGGUACCGCCGCGUGGGGGAUGACGGCCAGCGGGUUGUAAACCGCUGUCGUCUGUGACGAGGCGUGAGUGACGGUAAUGGGUAAAUAAGCACCGGCUAACUACGUG
rnacentral:rRNA from 1 species